rnacentral:sRNA from 1 species
GAGAGAGGAUGUGUGCUGGGCCUUGAAGGAAGGGGGCCGAGACCGGGCCUUACUUCUGUAACGAUACUGUGAGGCAUCGGAAGGCCAGCCUGUUGUGUCCGUUUUGAAGAAUGAACGGAGACCAGAAAUCAGAUGUUUAUGCCCAAGAAAAGCAGGAUUUUGUUCAGCACUUCUCCCAGAUCGUUAGGAUGCUGACUGAGGAUGAGAUGGGGCACCCAGAGACAGGAGAUGCUAUUGCCCGGCUCAAGGAGGUCCUGGAGUACAAUGCCAUUGGAGGCAAGUAUCACCGGGGUUUGACGGUGGUAGUAGCAUUCCGGGAGCUGGUGCAGCCAAGGAAACAGGAUGCUGAUAGUCUCCAGCGGGCCCGGACUGUGGGCUGGUGUGUGGAACUGCUGCAAGCUUUCUUCCUGGUGGCAGAUGACAUCAUGGAUUCAUCCCUCACCCGCCGGGGACAGAUCUGCUGGUAUCAGAAGCCAGGCGUGGGUUUGGAUGCCAUCAAUGAUGCUAACCUCCUGGAAGCAUGUAUCUACCGCCUGCUGAAGCUCUAUUGCCGGGAGCAGCCCUAUUACCUGAACCUGAUUGAGCUCUUCCUGCAGAGUUCCUAUCAGACUGAGAUUGGGCAGACUCUGGACCUCAUCACAGCCCCCCAGGGCAAUGUGGAUCUUGUCAGAUUCACUGAAAAGAGGUGAGGGGAGGUGAGGGACAGUGCGAAUCAUGUCUGGACAGUGAGGGAGGGCUCAGGAUGC